CGGGGCGUGGCGCAGUCUGGCUUAGCGCGCUUGAAUGGGGUUCAAGAGGCCGUGGGUUCAAAUCCCGCCGCCCCGA
rnacentral:tRNA from 1 species